GACGUAGGGUGCGAGCGUUUGUCCGGAUUUAUUGGGCGUAAAGAGCUCGUAGGCGGCUCGUCGCGUCGACCGUGAAAACCCGCGGCUUAACCGCGGGCUUGCAGUUGAUACGGGCAGGCUAGAGUUCGGUAGGGGAGACUGGAAUUCCUGGUGUAGCGGUGAAAUGCGCAGAUAUCAGGAGGAACACCGGUGGCGAAGGCGGGUCUCUGGGCCGAUACUGACGCUGAGGAGCGAAAGCGUGGGGAGCGAACAGG
rnacentral:rRNA from 1 species